UUAUUGAGUGGCACAUGUACCAUGUAUUUUGAAUUCACGUAUUGAUACUUGCAGAAGCUACUAAAAAGCUUCCAGAGAUUCUUGUUGACCAGAUUCUUCACCCUUGAGCUGCUAUCUUGUGAGCAAUUCCAAGUUGCAACUGCUGCAAAAGCUUCAUGGUCUUUUUUGUUGUAUGGUAUCUAAUAUAUAUAUCAUUUAGGUAAAGAUUACUUAAUGUAGUUUCAUAUUGAUAUAGAGAAAUGAAUGAAAUUACAUCUGCUUUUUUUUUCUUUCAUUAAUCAAAAAGAUCCUACAGGGCUUUUGAUCUUUGAGCGAACAAAGUAGUAUCACACAAAAUGCCCAUUUAGAUAUGCAUUUGAAGUUUUUACAGGAUGGGUUUUAAGGUGCAUUAGCAUGAUAUGUGGUCUAUCAUUAAUCGCAUUUGUGUUUAUAAAUUAAUAUCAUUAUAACGCAUCCUUCAGACCAAAUUCUUCUCCUCUCCACAUCUAAACUAAUUUGACCAAAUUCUCUCCUUCUCUACAUCUGAACUAAUUUUGGUGAUUUUUUGCAGUGGCCAUUGUCAACCAUAUAACUUGCUUUCUUUAUCUCUAUGACUGUUGUCAUUCUCAACAUCACAUCCCUCCACAGGUAUCAGUGACUGGCUCCACAAGUAUCAGUGACUGGUGUUCUAUUCGACUAUAAGGGGUUUCUGGAAUGGUGGUUUCCAUUAUCUUGGUGUUCUAUUAGACUAUAAGGGAUUUCUGGAAUGGUGGUUUCCUUAAAAGUGGACUAGGAGGAUGACAAUGGCAACGACAAUGAUUAGAAGAUUGUAGUAUGGUGGUCGACAAUUCUGUGGAAAGGAGAAGGAAUAUGGGAUGGAAUGGUUUACCGAAAUAAACACAAAAUUAGUUUGAGGGCUAAAAUUUGUAGAGCACUGUAAACCACUCUCAUGAAAGUGUGACUCCUGUGAUAUUUCUUUGUUGUUGGCAUAAUGGCAAAUAUUUCCUCUAUAGUGGUACUUCGUUAAAUAUUUUACACUACUAUUUCAGUUAGUGAUUAUUAUUAUUCACACUGUAUAUCUCAUGUAAGCACAUUAAUGUAAUUGGAUUUUUUUUUCUCUCAAACUUAAA
rnacentral:lncRNA from 1 species